CGAUGAGUGGACGUCUCGUCUGUGGCGGUUUGUCAGCACUGGGGUUUGGCUCUGAAGCUGGAAACACACCUGCUCCUAGUCAGAAGAAAUGGUUGGAUCUGUUUUAUAAGAGGGAGAAAUGUCCAGUGCAGGUCCACGACCAGUCGAAACUUUCCGGUGGACCACAGAAACGUCUUUGUGGAUUCCACCCUCCUAAAGUGUUCAUUUCAGACUUUCAGGUCGUAAGUGUUCCACCUGCUGCAAGUGUUCCACCUGCUUUACUCCACUCCUACUGCUGUAGCGCCCCCUACCUCCACCCCCACAUUAUACAGCCUGCACUUUUAUGUCAUUUAAGAAGACCUUUAUAUGUCAUUAUCAUCAUUAUUAUGUUUAAGUUCAUAAUAUACAAUAUGUGUCU